UAAUAUUAAAACUAUAUACUAGUAUCAUAGUAUACAUAUAUUAGUAUGAUAGAUUCAUUGUACAAGAGCAAGGAAAAUCUGAGUAAUCUAUCCAACGUUGCAAUUUCUGCAUUUCUAAAAUAUCUCCACAUUUCUAUUUCAGAUCUGUAUACAGCAUCUGUGUUAUAUGCAUUUAUAAUUUUAUAUAUACAUAUCCACAACGACAAGAUAUUGAGGUAAAAGGAGCAUCUCAUUUCUACGUGUGUUAAUAUUCAAUGGACAAAACUUGUUACACAACAUAAUGAGGUAUAUGAGGAUACAGUGCCAUAUUGUUACCAAUGUAAGCAGACGUCUGCAUCUGCAGCCAAAGAUAACCAAAAGUAAAAAAAAAAGUCAAAUACAAUGUUCCAAUUUGAGUCUGUAGUGAAACAUAGUAGCAAUGUGAAGCCUUUUCUCUGGCGAACUCUACCCAAUUUUACCAAUGGCAACAUCAAUUUCGUCGUAAACGUACGUUAAGCUGCUCGCGAGUCUAACCUUGUCGAAACAACCAUGCCAUUUCAAUUUUUAAACAAACCAACAAGCGCAAGCCGGUUAUUGAUGUAUUUUUUACGGAAUAAUAAAACAAACUUGUAACAAAA